rnacentral:ncRNA from 1 species
GGUUCCCUGUGUGAGUAAUGCAGCUUUCCGGAGUAAUCCGGAUUGAAAAAUCGGGCUAAUUCGGGGAAGUCCCAAAAUAAGUAAGGGGUUUUCAAUCCUGAACUUGUCGAAGGAUAAUCCCGAGCUAAAUUGACGCAUCAGUCGGUGCAUCAUAAAUGUGUAGAGACUAUAUACCCGACCACGCUGUUCGCGAACAGCGCGGAUGAGAUAGUCCAGACCUUUUGGUAACAAGAGG